CGCGUAGGCGGUUCGUUAAGUUGCUGGUGAAAUCCCGGGGCUCAACUCCGGGGCUGCCAGUAAGACUGGCGAGCUAGAGCACGGUAGAGGCGGAUGGAAUUCCCGGUGUAGCGGUGGAAUGCGUAGAUAUCGGGAAGAAUACCGGUGGCGAAGGCGUUCCGCUGGGCCGUUGCUGACGCUGAGGCGCGACAGCGUGGGGAAGCAAACA
rnacentral:rRNA from 1 species